UACAGAGGGUGCAAGCGUUAAUCGGAAUUACUGGGCGUAAAGCGCACGUAGGCGGUCAUGUAAGUCAGGAGUGAAAGCCCUCGGCUUAACCGGGGAAGUGCUUUUGAAACUGCAUGACUUGAAUACUGGAGAGGAUCGCGGAAUUCCCGGUGUAGAGGUGAAAUUCGUAGAUAUCGGGAGGAACACCAGUGGCGAAGGCGGCGAUCUGGACAGAUAUUGACGCUGAGGUGCGAAAGCAUGGGGAGCGAACAGG
rnacentral:rRNA from 1 species